GUGCAGCAGGCGAGAAACCUCCACAAUGCACGAAGUGUGAUGGGUUACCUGAGUGCCAUCCGAUGAGGAUGGCUUUUCACCAGUGUAAGGCGCUGGUGGAAUAAGGGGAGGGCAAGGCUGGUGCCAGCCGCCGCGGUAAAACCAGCUCCUCGAGUGGUCGGGAUAAUUAUUGGGCCUAAAGGCGUCCGGUAGCCGGUCUGGUAAGUCCCCGGUUAAAUCCGGCAGCCUAACUGUCGGCCUGCUGGGGAUACUGCUAGGACUUGGGGAUGGGAUAGGCUAAAGGUACUCCCAGGGUAGGGUGGAAAUCCUAUAAGUCCUGGGGGACCACCAGUGGCCGAAGGCGUUUAGCUGGAACACG
rnacentral:rRNA from 1 species